AGUGAACGCUGGCGGUAGGCCUAACACAUGCAAGUCGAACGGCAGCACAGUAAGAGCUUGCUCUUACGGGUGGCGAGUGGCGGACAGGUGAGGAAUACAUCGGAAUCUACUUUUUCGUGGGGGAUAACGUAGGGAAACUUACGCUAAUACCGCAUACGACCUACGGGUGAAAGCAGGGGAUCUUCGGACCUUGCGCGAUUGAAUGAGCCGAUGUCGGAUUAGCUAGUUGGCGGGGUAAAGGCCCACCAAGGCGACGAUCCGUAGCUGGUCUGAGAGGAUGAUCAGCCACACUGGAACUGAGACACGGUCCAGACUCCUACGGGAGGCAGCAGUGGGGAAUAUUGGACAAUGGGCGCAAGCCUGAUCCAGCCAUACCGCGUGGGUGAAGAAGGCCUUCGGGUUGUAAAGCCCUUUUGUUGGGAAAGAAAAGCAGCAGGUUAAUACCCCGCUGUUCUGACGGUACCCGAAGAAUAAGCACCGGCUAACUUCGUG
rnacentral:rRNA from 1 species